rnacentral:lncRNA from 1 species
CGUUUCUCAGGACUUUAUGUCUCUCCCAAUCUAGAGCCUCACAUGUCUUCUUCAUGCCUGCUGAGAGAGGUGUCCUGUUAAGUGUAGUAAGGAAAAUAGCUUCUUCCACUCAUGGAAUCUUGCACUGAGUUAAAAUUCUAUAAUCGGAACUUUAUCUUGAGAGUCUCUGUAAUGGUUUUCAGCUUUAACCAGAUUUAGGAAAUCAACCAUUGCAGUACUACAUAUACUUUAUUUUCUUAGAAGAAUAUCAUAUUAGACUUUCUCUUUUAUCAGUCAAACAAUAUCCAUCCACUGGAUUGACUGGAGGGGCU